rnacentral:snRNA from 1 species
CAAAAACAGCUCUUUUAGAAUUUUUCUGGCUUUCUGAUUUUGAUCAGAAAACCUAA